UACGAAGGGGGCUAGCGUUGUUCGGAAUUACUGGGCGUAAAGGGCGAGUAGGCGGCCUUGUCAGUCAGAAGUGAAAGCCCCGGGCUCAACCCUGGAAUUGCUUUUGAGACUGCAAGGCUAGAGUGUCGGAGAGGAGGGUGGAAUUCCCAGUGUAGAGGUGAAAUUCGUAGAUAUUGGGAAGAACACCGGUGGCGAAGGCGGCCCUCUGGAUGGGCACUGACGCUGAGGCGCGAAAGCGUGGGUAGCAAACAGG
rnacentral:rRNA from 1 species